GGGAAAUUUAGAGGAACCAGGGACCACAAGAUAAUUAACAUAAUAGGAUGGAGUGAUCUGGUUUUCAAAUGCAGAUGUUUCCCAAAACAAGCUCAUAGAAGAAUGACCACAUGCAAUGCAUAGUAAAAUCCAAACAAUAUGCAACCAAUGUGCAAACUUAUUUUGAAGAAUUAAACCAUAAAAAUGGGAAUGGUGUGACCUGAGGAAAAGAAUGCACUUGAUAUCCUUAAAGAAGAAUAUUGAACACAAAAUACACAACCUGAAAUAUGUGCAAUACGCAUGCAUCUCCCAAAAUAAAUCAGCUCCAACAUUCUAUUCUUAUUAACUAUGUUGUCAAUUUACCAAACCAGACAGCCGAAAUCCUAGCUCACAAAUAAUGCAUGAUCCACCUUUCAAAUAGAGAAUCAUCAUCAAAUGCAUUGUGAAACUAAUGAAACCAUUUGUAAUUUUGUAUGACACCUACUCACAGUAUUUCUUAAGAAGGAGCAAAUAAAGUCUCAACAUCGUAAGUGCUGAAGAAAACAAAGUGAAGGCUAGAGAGAGAGAGAGAGAGAG
rnacentral:misc_RNA from 1 species